UACUUUCUUUCAUUUAUGUUUUACUUUCAUUUAUGUUUUACUUUCCCAUUUCAAACGCGUUGCUUGUCGAAACGAAGACAAAGCUCGGCCAUCACACGCCGAUGGUGCUCCUCCCGCUCGUUUUAGACACACACACUUAAAUUUUGCCUAGAUUCGGCCCCAAACCACCUUAAACCGAGACUAAGACUUCCAAAAGCCACUCUCAAAUGAACUUGCGAAAAAUAGAAAGGACCUUCAAAGCUUUGAUGUAGACAAUGCCACUCGGGUGAUUUACUUAGGUAGUGAUGCAGCACCUUCGGUCGCUCGGCAGCUCGGUGGCUCGUCGGUGAUGGCUUCAUUCGGUGGCUUGACCAUGGUGGCGGUGGCUGAAGUUGAAGAGUUGGUCACUGGCGACGGUAACUUGUUUCAAUCGUUGGAGGCGGUUGGAUGAUAGUUUAGUUUAGGGUUUAAAAAGCCUAGUUGAAGAUGGGUAGGAUCCGGGUCAACUACGGGUCACCUCCGGGUCGGGUCAAAUUUCUGUCUGGAUCAACUGUUGGGUAGUUAGGUCCCUUCAUUGGGAUUCAGUUGAUAACUAGGUCACUUAUAAUGGGCUUUGAGUCUAGGCCUGCAAACAUAUGUAAUAAAAUUAAUAAUAAUAAUAAUAUAUUUUAAUUAAUAAUA